CAUAGCGACGGCAUGGUUUGGCACCUCGAUGUCGGCUCGUCGCAUCCUGGGGCUGGAGUAGGUCCCAAGGGUUGGGCUGUUCGCCCAUUAAAGCGGUACGCGAGCUGGGUUCAGAACGUCGUGAGACAGUUCGGUCCCUAUCUACCGUGGGCGUUGGAAAUUUGAGAGGAUCUGCUCCUAGUACGAGAGGACCAGAGUGGACUUACCGCUGGUGUACCAGUUGUC
rnacentral:rRNA from 1 species